rnacentral:rRNA from 1 species
UACAGGGGGUGCAAACGUUGCUCGGAAUCAUUGGGCGUAAAGCGCACGUAGGCGGUUCGUUAUGUCGGAUGUGAAAGCCCUUGGCUUAACCGAGGAAGUGCAUCCGAAACUGGCGAGCUAGAGUACUAAAGAGGAUCGCGGAAUUCCCGGUGUAGAGGUGAAAUUCGUAGAUAUCGGGAGGAACACCGGUGGCGAAAGCGGCUUCCUGGUCCAGUACCGACGUUCAGGCACGAAAGCGUGGGGAGCAAACAGG